CUACGGAGGGUGCAAGCGUUAAUCGGAAUUACUGGGCGUAAAGCGCGCGUAGGCGGUUUGGUCAGUUGGAUGUGAAAGCCCCGGGCUUAACCUGGGAACUGCAUUCAAUACUGCCAAACUAGAGUACGGGAGAGGGGGGUAGAAUUUCUAGUGUAGCGGUGAAAUGCGUAGAUAUUAGAAGGAAUACCAGUGGCGAAGGCGGCCCCCUGGCCCAAUACUGACGCUGAGGUGCGAAAGCGUGGGGAGCGAACAGGAUUAGAUACCCUAGUAGUCC
rnacentral:rRNA from 1 species